UGCAGACUGGUACAGAGGGUACCUCAUAAAGCAUAAAAUGUUACAGGGCAUCUUCCCUACGUCCUUUAUCCACAUCAAAGAAGUGACAGUGGAGAAAAGAAGAAAUACAGAGAACAUCAUUCCAGCAGAAAUUCCUCUGGCUCAGGAAGUGACGACGACUCUCUGGGAAUGGGGAAGCAUCUGGAAGCAGCUCU